rnacentral:lncRNA from 1 species
CGUAUGCUUUGCGAGCUGCUCUUGACAGCAGAGCACUUAGUAGGUGAGUCACUUAUUUAGUGACAAUGUGUUGAGUUCCUACCAUGCAAUGAAAAAUAAUUUUUAAAAAUUUUAAAACAAGCAAACUAAUAGCCUUAUCAAAUAAAACUAUCGAGCUGAACCCAAAACCCCAGAAUCACUUUGUCGAUCAUGAUCAAAGCAAAUUCAAGCAUGCAAAGAGAUAGAAAAUUAUACUUUACUCAAUAUAAAAAAAUGGCAUGUUGGUGUUCUCCAUAAGACCCCAAGGUAGAAGUCCUCCAACGGUGAUCCACAUGAAAGUUGGCCAAAGUCCUUCCCAACCGGUGCAUUGCCACAGCCUUAUCUUUUCAAGAACACUACCGGCUUCAAACUUGCAUC